rnacentral:sRNA from 1 species
AAUCCUGCAAAUAACCAUCGUUGAAAUCACUCGGCAACAAACAAGUAGAACUGAACACAAAUUUUAAAACUGCUGAUUUUUCUGGUGGCAAAUAAGCAGAUUAGAAGAGUUUGAAAGGUUGAAUACCCUUUCUAAGAAAGUAAACGUUCCUCCAGAAAAAGCAAUGAUGCAUAUAAAUUUUCACCGACCGCCAGCGAAGCCGAAGCCUCAGAAGUUGAAGGAAAUUGAGUACCAGAACCUCAGAUUUCCAGUAGAUUUAUCGAAUCCAUUUGCUGUGGCAACUGUUUUAAACCAAGAACCAGGAAAAUUGAAGAUUAAAGAAUUAAGAGAAGUUUUGGACCAGGGCACUGAAAUUUCAAAAACGAGACAGAUGAAGGAGGCACUCUUUGAACAGAAAGUCAGACAGGACAUUCACGAAGAGAUGGAAAAUCAUCUUAAGUGCUAGACAGAGGAGAUCCUAUUUUGGAUGAGGAAUUUCAGCGACUUAAAACAGAAGUUAGCCAUAAACGGGUCGUUCGCAAUCAAGAAGAGAAAAUCAAGGAAUUUCAUCCUACUUUUGAUCCACUCAUUAAUAACACUUGGCUCAGCAGGUCCAGGGCACAAAAACGGUUUCAACAAGUAGCACGCAAGGUCAUGAUUCAGGGACGAUUAUUCAAUAUGCUGAGUGCUGUUCGUGAAAUGGACAAAGAGAGUAUACUGAGAAAGAUUGGCCAAGCAAAACAAUCGAUAGCACAAGAGGCGAAUUUCUUCAAAUUUUUCCUGAGGCGGAUCAGUCAGGAUGAUUAUACCAGCCGGUUCUCUGUGUCGCCCAAGGAGGUGCUGCCCUUCGCUUUCCC